CUUCCUGCGGGGGAGCGCGGCCUGGGGCGCGGCGGCUGUGCUUGGUCCCGAGGUGUGGCGUGGAAGGCGCGUGUGUGUGUGCGCGCGUGUGUGCGUGUGUGCGCGCGAGCGUGUGCGUGCAAGGCGAGUGCGUGCGCCCGCCCCUGCGCCCUUCCCCCGCCUACACCUUGAUCUUAUUUGAUCGGGCCGGGACCCCCGCCCCGCCGGGCCCGCCCGAGAUGAGAAGCCGUUCCUCCCGCGAAGCCCGGCCGGGCGCUGUGCGGCGAGGCCUCUGUGGGCGGCGGCGGCGGCGGCACCGCGGCCCGGGCGCUCCCGGAGCCGCCCCGCGGGGCCCGGUGCUCAGACGUGAUGAAUUGAUCAGAUAGACGAGGCCGGGCGCGUCCCGGGCCGCUGAGUAUCGAGGCGAUUCUGAUCUGA